AUGGACACAGGGAGGGGAACAUCAUACACCGGGGCCUGUUGGGGGCUGGGGAGCUAGGGGAGGGAUAGCAUUAGGAGAAAUACCUAAUGUAGAUGACGGGUUGAUGGGUGCAGCAAACCACCAUGGCAUGUGUAUACCUAUGUAACAAACCUGCACAUUCUAUACAUGUAUCCCAGAACUGAAAGUAUAAUUAAAAAACAAAAAACAAACCCAGGUUUUAUAAAAGGAAAAGAUUUGAAUACUUUUCUGGUAAAAUUUCCAUCAGUGAUCUAAAAUUGCUUCUUCCAAAGGAAGAUCUUUUUGAUUCCAUAUGACUGAAAGACUCCAGAAGUUUUUUGGGGUACCAAAGAGUCAUAUUCCAGAUGGCAAUGAUCAUGGAGGUCCUUCUUUACAAGUUUUACAAAUCUUACAGUUUAUACAGACUUUUCUCGUAUCUUACUUCCAUUUGGUUGCCCCAUAACUGCUUUGUUAAGGGGAUAUUAUUAUAAUAAUUAUUACCAUCUUUCCUAUUUUGAGGCUGCAGAGAUUGACUUGCUCAAAGGCACCUGCCUGGCGAAGGUGGAAGGGCCCUGGCCCUGGACUGCUCUUCCCUCCAUGAGCAUCUUGGGUCAUAGCCAGAGCGGAGCCAUCUCUCAGGAGACUGGGGCGGGCAGUGGGGCCUGCGCCUGCACCCUGGGCGGCUGGCUUCUCCGAGGUGCCGCUGGGUGAGCUCCCGUGGUGCCAGACAGCAAAUAAUGAGCAGCGAUGCCAUCAGAGAGGGAAGAUUUGCAUUAUUAAAAACCGGGCCGGGAAAGGUGACAAGUGGUGGCACAAUAAAGCUAAGUGUGAGGGAGCAUGUGCAGGACGGGAGAAUGGAGCCCGGUAAUGAGAUGUGCUCUAAGAAGCGCUUCGGGGAGCGGAGGGGGAAGGAAAUUCCCUAAAGGUCUUCAUCAACACGAGUCUGUCACCAGGCAAGCCCGGCAAGGGACUGCGCGCUGGAGGGAGGGAGUUGAAACCAAGGAAGAAAGCCCUUCCCCGUGAGGCACUGCUAAUGGCCGGCAGGCUUGGGGGGCCAGGUCCCCCCACCAAUUAGCAGGCGUGGGACAGGGCUGGCCAGGCUGCAAGGAUGGAGACAGACACAUGUCGGGGGCUGGUCUGUCAGAAAGGAUUGGGACUCUGACGGUGGCCUAGUUAGAAGGGGCCUCAUCCUCAGCUUGUUGUAUUAGGGAACUGAUUUUAAAUGGAUGAGCUGGUGUAAAGAUGCAUCCAGAGACAGGCGUUCUCAGGUGUGAAUGAAGUGGGGAAUGGGAUUCUGAGGCAUGCCUGAUGACCCACUCCGACCUCAGUGACACUCGCUGUCAGAGCGUCCCAUCUGCGACUUACAGGGCACAUGGCCUAGAGCUUGGGGGCACAGGCUCUGGAGACAGGCGGCCUGGGUUUGAGUGCUGGCUGUACGUUGAUCAGUAUGUGUCCAUGCACGAGUGUUUAACCUCCUCUGUCCACAUCUAUAAAUCGGCCAUAAUAACAGUACUGGCCUAGCAGAGUUACUGUGAUCAUUAAAAGAGCAAAUGCCCAUAACAUCCCUUUCCACAAUGUCAGUGACAUAGUAAGUGCUCAGUAAAUAUUAGCUAUUAUUACUUUUUACUGAGGCUACUGGAA
rnacentral:lncRNA from 10 species